rnacentral:rRNA from 1 species
AAAAGGCUGCAGUAUUUUAACUGUACUAAGGUAGCAUAAUAAAUAGUCUCUUAAUUGGGGACUUGUAUGAAUGAUUGGAUAAAAUAUAAACUGUCUUAAUAUAGUAUAAAAAAUUUAAUUUUUUUUUUAAAAAGAAAAAAUUUUUUUAAAAGACGAGAAGACCCUAUAGAGUUUUAUAAUUAGUUUAAUUAUUAAAAAUUAUAAAAUUUUAAUUAAUAAUUUAAAUUAAUUAUUUUGUUGGGGUGAUAGUAAAAUAUAAUUAACUUUUAUUUUAAAAAACCAUAAAUUUAUGAUUAAUAUAUUUAUUUUUAGUUUAAGAUCAAAUUACCUUAGGGAUAACAGCGUAAUUUUUUUUUUUAGUUCUUAUAAAAAAAAUAGUUUGCGACCUCGAUGUUGGAUUAAAAUAUAAUUUAAAAGUAAAAAUUUAAUAGUUUUAAUCUGUUCGAUUAUUAAAAUUUUACAUGAUCUGAG